GAGGAGCAAGCUGUUGUGAGGAGACAGGAGAGGAGGAGCAGCCAGCCAGUGUGACAGCCUGCAGCACUAGCCACCAGCUACAGAGGAGCUGACACUCAGGCAUCUUCCAGACCAUGUGAUUUCCUACAUGAAUAGUAAAUACUGACUAAAGACGCUGUCUGACCAGGGAGGAUACAAUUCUUCAGAGGUUCCUCAUUAUUAAGAGAAACCACCAUAAAGAAUCAGCCUUAUGGACCAGGACAUUGACGAUUAGGCUGCAUGGGACCAGCAGCUGAGCAGAGAUGACAACAGCACUGACAGAUUAAAGUUUAAUUAUACCUGCACUGAUUUCAGUGUAUUGGCAGAGAGAACUGGGGACAUGCACAAAUAAAAAUCCAAUUCAUUUAG